rnacentral:rRNA from 1 species
AUGGCCGCCUCCCUCUCCUCCCCUCCCUCCUUCCAUCUCCUCCCCGCCCCCGCGCCCCGCCUCUCCCCCAACUCCACAGCUACUCCCCGAGCAAAGCGCAAGAGCAAUUGGAGGAAGCCUCGUCCCUUGUUCUGCUCCGCUGCCCCAUCCCCGUCCCCUUCGGCUUCACUCACCACCACCGCCGGUGCGGCCAAGGCCGGUUCAUGGAGGGACCUAUGCAGCCUCAACGCCUGGGUGGUGGGCGACUACUACCGCCUCGUCUCCGCCGUCAACGCACUCGAGCCGCCUCUUCGGAGGCUUUCCGACGAACAGCUGAAGGGGAAGACGGAGGAGUUCCGCGCGCGCCUGGGCCGCGGGGAGACGCUCGCCGACGUUCAGGCAGAGGCGUUUUCUGUGGUGAGGGAGGCGGCAAGGAGGACGCUCGGCAUGCGGCACUUCGAUGUUCAGAUUAUUGGUGGCGCUGUGCUCCACGAUGGGUGCAUUGCGGAGAUGAAGACUGGCGAGGGGAAGACACUCGUGUCGACCUUGGCAGCUUAUCUCAAUGCACUGACUGGGGAUGGAGUUCAUGUGGUGACUGUAAACAAUUAUUUGGCACAGCGAGAUGCUGAAUGGAUGGGCCGCGUUCAUCGUUUUCUUGGCCUAACUGUCGGUCUAAUUCAGGCAGGUAUGAAGUCUGAUGAGAGGAGAGCCAACUAUAUGUGUGACAUUACAUACACUAAUAACUCGGAGCUUGGAUUUGAUUAUCUUCGUGACAACUUGUCACGUAAGAAAGAACAGUUAGUCAUGAGAUGGCCAAGACCAUUCCAUUUUUCUAUCGUGGAUGAAGUGGACUCAGUGCUUAUAGAUGAAGGAAGAAACCCAUUGUUAAUAAGUGGAGAGGAUAAUAGAGAAGCAGCACGGUAUCCAGUUGCUGCUAAAGUUGCAGAUCUUCUCAUAGAGGGUGCUCAUUAUACUGUAGAACUGAAGGGCAAUAAUAUAGAUCUAACAGAGGAUGGAGUUACUUAUGCUGAGACGAUUCUUGGGACCAAUGAUCUGUGGGAUGAGAAUGAUCCGUGGGCAAGAUUUGUGACAAAUGCAUUGAAGGCCAAAGAGUUCUACCGCAGGGAUGUACAGUACAUUGUUAGGAAUGGAAAAGCUCUCAUAAUUAAUGAGCUUACUGGUCGAGUCGAACCCAAAAGGAGGUGGUCUGAUGGUAUUCAUCAAGCAGUAGAAGCAAAAGAAGGCCUCAAAAUCCAGGCAGACUCAGUAAUUGUGGCUCAGAUUACGUAUCAGUCUCUGUUUAAGCUUUAUCCUAAGCUUUCCGGGAUGACAGGUACUGCUAAGACAGAGGAAAAGGAAUUUCUGAAGAUGUUUAAGAUGCCAGUCAUUGAGGUGCCCACGAAUCUGCCAAAUAUACGGGUGGACUUACCUAUCCAAGCUUUUGCGACUUUAAGGGGCAAAUGGCAAUAUGUCCGGGAAGAGGUAGAGUAUAUGUUUCAAUUGGGCCGUCCUGUUUUGGUUGGAACUACCAGUGUUGAGAGUUCAGAAUACCUGUCGGAUCUUCUUAAGUCUCGUAAUAUUCCUCACAAUGUACUUAAUGCAAGACCAAAGUAUGCUGCUAGAGAAGCUGAGAUAAUUGCACAGGCUGGAAGGAAACAUGCAAUUACAAUUUCAACGAACAUGGCAGGCAGAGGGACAGACAUCAUUUUAGGUGGCAACCCUAAGAUGCUUGCAAAAGAAAUUGUAGAAGACAAUGUACUUCCAUUUCUGUCGCACGACACCCCAGAUGUCGAAACUGAGGGGGAGUCCACAUCCCACAAGGGUCUUUCCAAGAUAAAACUCGGGCCAUCGUCACUAGCUCUGCUUGCCAAAGCUGCAAUCAUGGCAAAAUAUGUUCACAAAAGUGAGAGCAAUGAAUGGUCUUUUCAGAAGGUGAAAUCCACUAUUAUGGAGUCAAUUGAAAUGAGUAAUACAAUUGGGUUGGAAAAACUACAAGAGCGCGUGGCUGAAGUGACUGAGAUGUACCCUCUUUGUGAUGCAAUAGCACUUGCUUAUGCGACUGUCUUAAAGGAUUGCGAAAUUCAUUGUUUUGACGAGGGUGCUGAGGUGAAGACAUUAGGUGGGCUUCAUGUAAUAGGAACUUCUUUGCAUGAGUCGCGCCGAAUUGAUAACCAAUUACGUGGUAGAGCUGGCAGGCAAGGUGAUCCUGGUUCCACACGGUUUAUGGUGAGCUUACAAGAUGAAAUGUUCCGGAAGUUUAAUUUGGACACAGAAUGGGCCGUGAGACUAAUAUCAAGGAUAACAGAUGGCGAAGACAUAGCGAUCGAGAGCAAUGCUGUUGUAAAACAGCUUCUAGGCCUUCAAAUCAAUGCAGAGAAGUAUUAUUUUGGCAUAAGGAAAAACCUUGUUGAGUUUGAUGAAGUCUUGGAGGUCCAAAGAAAGCACAUCUAUAGCCUUAGGCAGGUGAUAUUAUCAGGUGACUCUGAAAGCUGCAGUGAACAAAUUUUCCAGUACAUGCAAGCUGUAGUUGAUGAAAUUAUUCUGGGAAAUGUUGAUCCCCAGAAGCCACCUAAGACGUGGGAUUUGGCAAAGCUUUUGGAUGAGUUUGCCAGUCUAGGCGGAAAUUUGCUGACAGAAACAUUCAAGGAGACCCAAGAGGAAGACCUACAAUCAUCACUUGAGCAAAUACUUAGAUAUGGCUCUGUGGAGGUCGAUAAUUUUGUUCUCCCAAACAUGCCAGUGCCACCUAAUUCAUUCAGGGGAAUUCGUAAGAGAACAUCUUCAGCAAUGCGAUGGUUUGCCAUGUGUGGUGAUGAUACAUCAAAGAAAGGGAGAUAUACAAACAUUGUCAAUCUUCUUCGGAAAUAUUUUGGGGAUUUUCUAAUAGCUACCUACCUGGAAGUGCUGCAAGAGUCCCGUUAUCAUGAUGCGUACAUCAGGGGAAUAGAGAGGGAAGCACUCCUGAAGACACUUGAUAUGUUGUGGAAGGACCAUUUAGUUAACAUGAACAAGCUUAGUUCUGCGGUGAAUGUCCGGAGCUUUGGGCACAGAAAUCCUCUGGAGGAGUAUAAGAUUGAUGGCUGCCGGUUCUUCAUCUCAAUGUUGAGUACCACACGACGAUUGACAGUCGAAGCCCUACUCCGUUACUGGUCAUCUCCAAUGGAAUCUGAAGAGAUAUUCAACACUGCGGAUCAAUAG